GUUUUUCGGCCAGGGAUGUGCUCGCGGCCUAUCAGCUUGUUGGUGGGGUAAUGGCCUACCAAGGCUUCGACGGGUAGCCGGCCUGAGAGGGUGACCGGCCACACUGGGACUGAGACACGGCCCAGACUCCUACGGGAGGCAGCAGUGGGGAAUAUUGGACAAUGGGCGGAAGCCUGAUCCAGCAACGCCGCGUGAGGGAUGACGGCCUUCGGGUUGUAAACCUCUUUCGGUACCGACGAAGCGCCGAUGAUGGUGGUGACGGUAGGUACAGAAGAAGCACCGGCCAACUACGUG
rnacentral:rRNA from 1 species